rnacentral:rRNA from 1 species
CCUACGGGUGGCAGCAGUGGGGAAUAUUGCACAAUGGGCGAAACCCUGAUGCAGCAACGCCGCGUGAGUGAAGACGUCUUUCCGGAUGGAAAGCUCUAUCAGCAGGGGAGCAAAUGACAGUACCUGACCAACCCCCCCCGGCUCCCUACGUGCCAGCAGCCGCGGUCAUACGUAGGGGGCAGGCGUGAUCCGGAUUUACCGGGUGUAAAGGGCGUGUAGGCGGGACGGCAAGUCAGGUGUGAAAACCACGGGCUCAACCUGGGGCCUGCAUUUGAAACUGUAGUUCUUGAGUACGGGAGAGGCAGACGGAAUGCGUAGUGUAGCGGUGAAAUGCGUAGAAAUUAGGAGGAACACCAGUGGCGAAGGCGGUCUGCUGGACAGCAACUGACGCUGAGGCGCGAAAGCGUGGGGAGCAAACAGGAUUAGAUACCCGUGUAGUC